rnacentral:rRNA from 1 species
UCAGACGAUGCGUCAUGCAUAUCAAUAAGCGGAGGAAAAGAAACUAACAAGGAUUCCCCUAGUAACGGCGAGUGAAGCGGGAAGAGCUCAAAUUUGAAAUCUUAAAGGGUUUCCCUUUACGAAUUGUAGUUUAAAGAAGUGUUUUCUGUUGAGGUUUUGGUAAAAGUUCUUUGGAAUAGGACAUUAUAGAGGGUGAGAAUCCCGUAUUUGACCUUUACUUUCAACUUUGUGAUACACUUUCAAAGAGUCGGAUUGUUUGGGAAUGCAGUCCAAAAUGGGUGGUAAAUUUCAUCUAAAGCUAAAUAUUGGCGAGAGACCGAUAGCGAACAAGUACCGUGAGGGAAAGAUGAAAAGAACUUUGAAAAGAGAGUUAAACAGUACGUGAAAUUGUCAAAAGGGAAGCGUUUGACACCAGUGUUGUUUUUCUGAAAAUCAAUUAAAGAACUGUUUAUGCUAAGUUGUUUAGACUUUAUCAGCUAUCUGUUUAGUUUUGAGCUUUUCUUUAAUGCACUUUUCAGUUAACAAGUCAACAUCAAUUUCUUUUGCUGUAAAAAAGCUUGAGGAAGGUGGCUUGAGAUUCGUCUUAAGUGUUUAUAGCCUCUUGCCUAUGCAGUCGGAGAGAUUGAGGUCUGCAGCGUAGAUCCUUCGGGGCUAAAUGCAUUUGUGCUAAGUUAUAACAUUUUAUAGACAACUUGUUGACUAUGAUUUGUCUUGUAGCUUACUCGCUUAUGUUAUUUUACCUACGCUUAGGAUGUUGAAGAUGUAGCACAUCA